CCCUCCACCCCCCCGGCCCCGCGGCGGCCCCUUCCGGCUCCUCGCACCCUGUGGCCUGCUCCCUCACUUUGGAGACCGGCUCCGAAGCUGUACCAGCUGCCAUCUGGCGACUGUUAAUUUAAUUUUAUUAUUAUUGUUGUUGUUUUGAACGGCUGGUGCUACAGACUGGUCGCCCCAUCCACGUGCGCGGGGGUGAGAAUUCCUCCUCCGCCGCCCUUUCUUCGGCGGGGGUGUGUGCGGGGGAUACGCGCAGCUCCUGGCGUGCGCCUGCCCCGAGCAAGAGAAACACCUCCGGGGCCCAGUGCCAAAGCGGGGAAGCGGCAAGUUUUGUGCUCAGUGAGCGCCGAGGAGGGAGGGAGACGCCGGGAAGCCCUUGAGAGUCCCUCCCAGGUCGCCGCUUGGGCUCGGUACACGCACGUAGUCCCCGGGGCGUGAGUGUAUCCCUGUCGUACUCACGCACCUCUCUGGGGACAUCAACCUGGAGCCGCGUGUCCCCGACAUCCCAGAUGUGCGUGGAACCCCCGCGCCAGCCCUCUCCUCCGUGCGGCCCCGCGCUGGCUCCCCCCCGUGCCCUUUUCCCCACCCCCACCCCGGUGCGGCCUGCCCGCCGCUAACCCUCAGCCAGCCGUGACUCACCAGGGCGGCAGAGGCCCGGGCUCGCCGCCCUGCCAGCCUUGGCCGCCGCGGCACCACCCCCGCCUCCGCGCCCCGAAAGCGGGCGGGGGGGAGGGGGCAGGGCGGCCGCCCGUCCUCGGCCCGCCCCGGCCCGGCCGGCCGCGGCCUGGUUCGGCAGGACGCGAGCUCGGGGUUGUUGUCGACUUUUAGAGUGGAGUCAGGUCGGGCGGAGAGUGAAAGAGGUGACAUUUUGCUUAACAUAAUGCGCCGUAAAUCCAGGGCCAGCUCUACGACUGCGCGUCCGGCGCGGUGACCAGCUCGCCACGAAAUGAAGACCUUGAGGACAAAACGUGCCUUUACCCAGUUGUCUCUAUAAGCCUGUUUGUUCGUAGUGGUUCCUUACUAGACGCUGUUGUUCCUUAAGCUAAAAGUAAGCCUGUUAAAGUUCCGAGUUUUCUCUACCCACGAGGGGAAGCUGAAACUCAGGGAACUUCGGAGCAGACUGCGUGGCUAACGCGGAAGAGAGCAGCACUCUCAGGUUCUUGUCAAGCAAGGAAAUAGUAACGCACAGUUUGCCGUGCUCUUAGUUGGAGCUGAAAAAUGUUAAGAAGCCCUAAGUUGGCUUGAGAACAGUGCUGGAAGUUCUGUUAAGGCAGUGUGUUAUACCUGUAUUGUGUGUGUAUAUGCGUAAUCUCUAGCGUGUGUCCUUAUGUAACACAUAAAUGUGUAGUAAAUAAAUGCAGGAAGAAAGAACAGGGACUCUUCCAGGAGCUGACAAGAAAGCUUCGGUGGCCCUUUAAUCCUGAUGCUGACAUCUCCCACUAGGAUUUCUCAGACCAAAAUUCCCUCCAAACCUCAAAGUCUAAAACAUUGUGUUGUUGCAUCCACUAAUGCCCAUGAAACAGUAAUGGCAUGAAACAGCCAUCUGGCCAGAGUUUAAAUUCCUUCUUGUGGAAGGGGUCGAAAGACUUGAGAUACAAGUAGCAAGUCCCUACUUGGGUAAUGCAAGGCAGAGUGACAUCCUCGCUUCUCAAAUAUCACCCGCCCCACACACUAUUCCCCACACUUGGAAUCUUUCUCAUUCUCUCCCCAUCCUUCCUGUGAAUUUAAAACAUUUAUUCCGUUUUUAUACAGCUUCCAUUGUAACCCUUCCUCUUUCUCUUUGCUGUUUGUCCCCCUGAGUUCUAGGGGGACGUGCACACCUCAUGGUAAAAGAGCUGAGGUGCAGAGCUCGAACUAGGCUGAAGGCAGGAGCUGGUCCACGGAUUCAGGCAGGCAAUUACGGGUUUUAACACAUCAGCCUGUUACACCCGUUUCUGUAGAGACACACGCACAAGUGGGGAUGGAAGGGAGGGAGAGGGGAACAUCACAAAAGACAUGGGAUCAUGUUACUGAAAAACAUUCUCUAUAUACAGGCUGCAGCAGGGAGCAGGUUCUGAAUGUUUCCCCCUCUUGUCAUGCUGGGGAAGCGUUUUCCCAUCCCCAGAGGAUGAGUUGCUGUCUCUAUUUAGUUUUUUUUAAUAAAAAAACAAAACAAAACACAAGCUCUGAACGGAACUAUACAUUUUGUAGAAGGUAGAAACAAAGCAAUAAAGGACUUGAGUUCCAGGA